GUUUUUGAAGUGAAAAAAGUGAGUGAAGGGCUGCAAAUGGCAAAAGACCCUUCUUUUUUAUGGGUGAGUUGUAUUUAAUUACAUAUAUAUAUAUGUAUAUAUAUAUACUGCAUCUCUAUUAUCUAUUCAACUGUUGAUAUGCACUUAGGAGGCUUCCAUAUCUUGACAAUUAGAAAUAAUGUUGCUAUUAAUAGCAGGGUGUAUGUAUCUUCUUGAAUUAAU